GGGGGCGAAAUGGUUUCGACGGGGACAAAGAAGCUUUGGUUGCAUACCGAGUCCCGCUGACUCGUAAAACAGGCGGAACAUAAACAUAAUCGCAGACGAUUAUAACUACGCCUUGGCCGCUUAGUCGGCCAACGUCCUUCCGGGUUUCCUCCUGCGGAUCCGGUAUGGGCGUCGACUUGCAGGAUAGCCGUUUCUGAUUGUUUGUUGCAGCAACGGUGAAACUCUAACAAAAUAGCAAUUCAAGUAUCCCGCCUGAAGGAGACUUGAAGCGCGAAAUUCAGAUUUCAGGCUAUGUAUGUAGAAGCCAUUGUGGAAUGUUUUCGGACGCGGGUUCGACUCCCGCCGCCUCCACCA
rnacentral:tmRNA from 1 species